CUGGAGGUUUCUUCCUGAGGAAGGAGGGACCUGUUUGCCCCAGGCCGCAGUCAACAACGACAGCAGCGACAACGCCGAAUGAUGAUCACACACAGCACCGAGCCAGUCAAGAUGCACGGGUCACCGACCGGUCUUGAUCCAAAUACAUUGUGGAAUGAUGGAGCCAGACUCACGACCUGAAGGACGCAGACUGACGGGACGAGAAGAAGAGAGGGGGAGAGUUACAGAUCAGUCAGCUACCGUGAUUCUCUCGGGUUUGCCUGUUCCUGCACUCACCUGCCUGUUCACCCUCCGAUGGAUCGUCAUUCACUGAGCAUCGAUCACCGGGCGGUCGCCAGCCUCGGCUUCGUGGGCAGACUCGCCUCCUCCUGGAGCUCUGGUGACCCCUGCGUCGUUCUGCUGAAGCACUGACUCUGGACUGAACCAUGACGAGCCAAAUAAAGGAUAUUAAUCA